AUACGGAAGGUCCGGGCGUUAUCCGGAUUUAUUGGGUUUAAAGGGAGCGCAGGCGGCACUUCAAGCGUGACGUUAAAUUUCGGGGCUCACCCCCGUUUUGCGUCGCGAACUGUUGUGCUUGAGUAGGCGGCAGGGAGGCGGAAUUCGCGGGGUAGCGGUGAAAUGCUUAGAUAUCGCGAGGAACUCCGAUAGCGCAGGCAGCCUCCCGUUGCUUUACUGACGCUCAUGCUCGAAGGUGCGGGUAUCGAACAGGAUUAGAUACCCCGGUAGUCCGCACGGUAAACGAUGGAUGCCCGCUGUUUGCGAUAUACUGUGAGCGGCCAAGAGAAAUCGUUAAGCAUCCCACCUGGGGAGUACGCCGGCAACGGUGAAACUCAAAUGAAUUGACGGGG
rnacentral:rRNA from 1 species